rnacentral:rRNA from 1 species
GACGUAGGGUCCGAGCGUUGUCCGGAGUUACUGGGCGUAAAGGGCGCGUAGGCGGUUCCAUGCGUCCCACGUGAAAGCCCCUGGCUCAACCAGGGAGGGUCGUGGGGAAACGGGGGAACUGGAGGCAGAGAGAGGCUGGUGGAAUUCCCGGAGUAGUGGUGAAAUGCGUAGAUAUCGGGAGGAACACCGGUGGUGUAGACGGCUCUCUGGACCGUAACUGACGCUGAGACACGAAAGCGUGGGUAGCAAACAGG